ensembl:lncRNA
AUUAAACAUUAGGAUUUAUGGGGUUGGAGAUAUUACUGCUCUGAGAACAUUAUCUUCCUGAUGAAAGAUCUAAAUGCAAAUAGAAGGAAUGCCAAAAUACCCUGGAACAUAAUUAAGGAUACUGAGGUGUGAAGAAGCCCUAGGCAUAGGAAUGUGCAGUUUUCUUAACUUCCACUUUCACGGUGGGCUGGUUUUCUUUGUUCCACAUUUCUAUCCACUGUCCCAAUGUGCCAUCUUGUUUCUUUUUUUACUAGUUCUCAAGUGAAGAAAAAAAAAAAAAAAAAAAAGUAAAUGCACUCCUAUAUGGAUUAUCAAAGAAAAGAUGUUUCUGACUUAAAACAUACCCUUGCUGUCUGUACUGGGAAACAGCCAUUCAGUGAUGUCUAAAAGAGCUUCCUUGGUGGCCUGGUUUUCUAGCACAUUUCUUAUCAUGAAUGUCAUCUCUCCACUUGGAAUGGACAGCAGCAAUGAUAGACAUGCAAUGAUCAGCAGCAAACAGAUUUUAACCUUAUUUAACUGGUGGAAGCUGCUUCUGCUGAAGAUGAUACUUCUAUUCUGAAUGAGAAGUAGUUGGUAGCUUGAGAACAACCUUCAAAGGAGACCAGCAUUCUGUGCUGCAACAAGAAGGGGAGAGCUAAAGAGGAGGAGCUUGGAAAAGGAUCAUAUGAACAAACCAGUGGGCAGCACCAAGGUUGUCAGUCCAGCUUGAGCACUGAUAUGGGUGUCAAGAAUUUAUACGUUUCCAUUGUUAACAUACUUCUGUGUAUCCAUCACUGGGUUUAGGUUAAAAAACUUGGAGUUGUAGCAUACUGCAUAUUCAGACCAUGUAUCCACCAUCCAUGCAGAAAACCUAAUACAAUGGAUGACUGUUAACUGUGAAAUAGCUAGAUUAAUUUUCUAAGUGAACAGUGAAAAGAUAUUGCUUAGUAUUAUAUAUAUCCUCCCUUUGCCACAUCUCAAGUUCCCUGAAAACCUCCACAUAUCUCUGGAAAUGACUGUAUUCUUCUGAAAUAUCAUCUAGCUUAAUCCUGCUUGUGGAAGAAACCACAUCCAUCCUGUGCAAAUGAGAAGGAAAAUUAAAUUGUGGGUGUAACACAGUAACACAAUGGAAAUCACAGCAACGAUAGCAGAGUAGCAAAGUCCUAGGCUGCUGCAAAGGGGGA